rnacentral:rRNA from 1 species
CCCUAUGGGGUGCAGCAGGCGAGAAAACUUUGCAAUGUGCGAAAGCACGACAAGGUUAAUCCGAGUGGUUUCUGCUAAAGGAACCUUUUGUCAGUCCUAGAAACACUGACGAAUAAGGGGUGGGCAAGUUCUGGUGUCAGCCGCCGCGGUAAAACCAGCACCUCAAGUGGUCAGGAUGAUUAUUGGGCCUAAAGCAUCCGUAGCCGGCUCUGUAAGUUUUCGGUUAAAUCUGUACGCUCAACGUACAGGCUGCCGGGAAUACUGCAGAGCUAGGGAGUGGGAGAGGUAGACGGUACUCGGUAGGAAGGGGUAAAAUCCUUUGAUCUAUUGAUGACCACCUGUGGCGAAGGCGGUCUACCAGAACACGUCCGACGGUGAGGGAUGAAAGCUGGGGGAGCAAACCGGAUUAGAUACCCGGGUAGUCCCAGCUGUAAACUAUGCAAACUCAGUGAUGCAUUGGCCUGUGGCCAAUGCAGUGCUGCAGGGAAGCCGUUAAGUUUGCCGCCUGGGAAGUACGUACGCAAGUAUGAAACUUAAAGGAAUUGGCGGGGGAGCACCACAAGGGGUGAAGCCUGCGGUUCAAUUGGAGUCAACGCCAGAAAUCUUACCCGGAGAGACAGCAGAAUGAAGGUCAAGCUGAAGACUUUACCAGACAAGCUGAGAGGUAGUGCAUGGCC